rnacentral:rRNA from 1 species
AUUGAACGCUGGCGGCAGGCCUAACACAUGCAAGUCGGGCGAGCGGCGGACGGGUGAGUAAUGUAUGGGGGUCUGCCUGAUGGAGGGGGAUAACUACUGGAAACGGUAGCUAAUACCGCAUACCAUCAGAUGAACCCAUUUGGGAUGAGCUAGUAGGUGAGGUAACGGCUUACCUAGGCGACGAUCCCUAGCUGGUCUGAGAGGAUGAUCAGCCACACUGGGACUGAGACACGGCCCAGACUCCUACGGGAGGCAGCAGUGGGGAAUAUUGCACAAUGGGCGCAAGCCGGAUGCAGCCAUGCCGCGUGUAUGAUGAAGGCUUUCGGGUUGUAAACCUCUUUCGAUAUCGAACGGGUAGGUGGAGAAGAAGCGCCGGCUAACUACGUGCCAGCAGCCGCGGUAAUAC